UAGUCGCCGCGGUAAUACGUAGGGUGCGAGCGUUAAUCGGAAUUACUGGGCGUAAAGCGUGCGCAGGCGGUUCGUUAAGACAGAUGUGAAAUCCCUGGGCUUAACCUGGGAACUGCAUUUGUGACUGGCAAGCUAGAGUAUGGCAGAGGGGGGUGGAAUUCCGCGUGUAGCAGUGAAAUGCGUAGAUAUGCGGAGGAACACCGAUGGCGAAGGCAGCCCCCUGGGCCAAUACUGACGCUCAUGCACGAAAGCGUGGGGAGCAAACAGGAUUAGAUACCCGAGUAGUCCCUGUCUCUUAUAA
rnacentral:rRNA from 1 species